GUCUCAGUAGCAUAGUGGUUAGGUCACAGCACCGGAUAGUUUGAGACGCGGGUUCGAAUCCCGCCUGAGAUG
rnacentral:tRNA from 1 species